CUUAACUUUCCUCAUUGUUUAUUGUUAAUAGUAUUUUAUUUUGAAAUCAUUUUAUGCAUAUCAUAGGAUAAAGCAAAUAACUAUAUUAAUGUUUUUAGGAACCGAUAUUUUCACUAUAAGAGAAAAUAGUUAGAAAUAUGUUAUGUUGAUGGGAGAUACCUAGAGGUUCUUGAGAUUCUGUUUGUUUCCAGGUGAGCAUGUAAGAAUCACUGGCCUUGAUACUGCAGGCUGAGAACUCUGGCAGCAACUUCCAUGACUUUUGCUCACCAAGCUCUUCCAACAGAUAGUCCUGGAGCUUGGAAGUCUGCGAUCAGGGUGCCAGCACGAUCAUUUCUGAAACACUUCGUUGAACUCCUCACACCACCAUUCCAGAAGUCCUGCCUGUCCAUGGGCCAUUUCUUAUAUAUAAGGAAGAAUGAUUCAGUGGAUACAACCAAGAACUCAGAGGGUGGAGCCAAGAGCUAAGAAGAAUCAUUCCCAGAGAUCAGGACUGGGCCGUGAUGAAAGAACUAGUGAUGGAUUUCAGAAUUGCUAUGGAAUGCUAUGUGUUUCCUUGUUCCCCUCCUUUGUGAACUGAAGUGUCUACUGUGAUUAUUAAGUUUCUAACUCACCAUUGUAUGUUGGGUAUGUGGGGGCAUAUAAUUUGUUUCUUUAUUUCAUAGGUCCUGAGAUCUAGAGGCUCUGUACUCAAGGAGCUUCACUUGAGGAGCCUCAUCUCCACCUAGACCUGAUUUAGCUGAUGAAAUCCUGGUCCUCAGAUCUAAUCCUGAUGUUAAAAUAGGCUGAGACUUCUGGGGGCCUUGGGGGAAGGUGAAUGUCUUUUGCAUGUGUGAGAAAUGUAAAUAAUUUAUGGCUAGAGAGGAGAGUGUGGUAGACUUAAAAUGGCUGCAAAUUCCUUGUGGCUCCUCCCAUUGAAUCUGGACUGGCUUUAGUCACUGCUUGACUAACAGAAUACAGUAUAUGUGAUGUUGUAGAAUUUUAGUCACAAGAUCACAAAAAACCUUGAUCUUCUGCCAGGGACUUUUUGAAUGCACCUGCCAUGCUGUGAGGAAGUCCAGGUAACCACAUGGAGAACCACACAGAGACAGAAUUUGAGAUCCCCAGCUGGCAGCCCUAGUGGAGCUCCUAGCUGACACCCAACACCAAUUUGCCAGUAAUGAAGAUAAUUCAUUCUGGAAGUGGAUACUCAGUUCCAGUGGAGGCAUCGGGUGACGCUGUGUAGCGCAGAAAUGAGCCAUCCCCACCCAAAUUGCAGACUUAUGAGUAAAAAUAAAUUACUGUUUUGAGCUACUGUUUUAGAGUGGUUUGUUAUGCAGCAUAAAUAACCAUAACGUUCCUUAACCUAGCAACUCCACAUCUAUAUGUCUACCUUAAAUAAACUCUUGUGAAUAAAAAAUAUGAAUGAG
rnacentral:lncRNA from 10 species